AUACGUAGGGCGCGAGCGUUGUCAGGAAUUACUGGGUGUAAAGGGAGCGUAGGCGGGAGUGCAAGUCAGCUGUGAAAUACCUGGGCUCAACCCAUGGGCUGCAUUUGAAACUGCAUUUCUUGAGUGACGUAGAGGUAAGCGGAAAUCCUGGUGUAGCGGUGAAAUGCGUAGAUAUUAGAAGGAACACACGGGGCGAAGGCGGCUUGCGGGGCUGUUACUGCCGCUGGGACACGAAAGCGUGGGGAGAAAAUAGAAUUAUAUACCCUAGUGGUCCACGCCGUAAACGAUGAGUACUAAGUGUCGGGUAACCGGUGCUGAAGUUAACACAUUAAGUACUCCGCCUGAGGAGUACGGUCGCAAGGUUGAAACUCAAAUGAAUUGACGGGG
rnacentral:rRNA from 1 species